rnacentral:lncRNA from 1 species
GAAAUUUAGAAGAGAAGAUAAAACAGCACGUCCUCCAAAUGCGUGAGCAAAGAAGAUUCCAUGGCCAGGCCCCACUGGAGGAGAUGAGGAAGGCUGCCGAGGAUCUGGAAAUUGCCACAGAGCUACAGGAUGAAGUAUUGAAGCUAAAAUUGGGAUUAACCUUGAACAAAGAUCGUCGACGGGCGGCCCUCACUGGAAACCUUUCGCUUGGCCUGCCGGCAGCACAGCCUCAAAAUACAUUUUUUAACACAAAAUAUGGAGAAUCAGGAAAUGUUCGCAGAUACCAGUGACACCAGGUGGCUGGACUGAUGGAGACGUCUUCAGACAGGAGCCGCUCAGUCUUCUUUCCCGGGCGUCGCCUCCUGUGUGGUGCCGGAAGAGCGCCAGGUUCAGUGUUACCCUGAGGGCUGAUUUCGCGCAGCCUGUUGUUUUCCUUAGACAGGUCCACGUCCCUCUCCUGAGGCUGUGGAAGAUUUCAGCCGUAUUAAAAGAAAGGAC